AAGAAAUAUAAAAUAAUUUUUUAAGAGGAAAUUAGGCCAAAUAUGGUCCAAAAGUUACAAAAUUGAAUAAUACCAUUUAAAACUAAUUAAACAAUUUGAAACGUAAUUAAUACGUCCAAAGGACUCAAACCUCAAAACAUAAAGAGAGAAACAUGGUGGCGUUUCUUCAACCUUUUCCCAUUUUCAUUACCGUAAUAGACUAAAAAGAGCAAAAACAUGAUGAUGUCAAGGAUGGCGCCACCACUGUAUUUGGGCCAGCAGCCUACCGAGCAUAUAUGGGUGCAUCUCUUCACCUCCGUCGACCAAUGGGGCUUUCUUACAAGUUUAUGGCAACACCACCAUUCGUCACAGCUCCUUCGCAACCAGCCAACCACAAUCACCUCUGGGCAGAUCGGCUUCGCCAACUCGAAGAGCGCAGAUGCGACCUCGUGGUUCCAACAAGAAGCAACUUUACCAAUUUUGUGAAUUGCUAGAUAUGUAUCAGAUAUAACUUUGAUUCUCUGCGUGGGAAAUGUUUGAGAAAAUGACGCAGUGGAAUUUUUAUGUUUGGUUAGUGAUGAUAUAUGGGUAUUUUAAGAAGGGCGAUAUCGACACUAGGGAUUUUUGAUCGGAUGAGUUUGAGGAACUUGAUUGUUUGGAAUUCGUUGAUUUUUGGGUACAUGCUAAAGUUUGAGAAAUGAAGGUACAACUAAACCCAAGAGUUUCAACACUGGAUGCUUUUGUGGUGUCCAAGAGAUUGUUCACGUAGAGGCAUGCAAAAGUGUUUUCUAGUCUUCAUUUUAUUUGGGCUGGUAUUAUCGAUUUCACUCUUAAUUUUUAUUAUUAUUGCAGGAGCAGUUGAACACAGUUGCUUGAAGUAGCAACGAUUAUUAUAGUAACCAAACAAGCAUCAAGGGCUAGUGACACAACUUUACACAUUAUAACCUUUAAUUCCUUUUAAAGCUGUAAUAUUUGAAUCGAACUUUACUCUUUUCAUUGGGAUAAUUGAACUCAAUAACACCAAUGCAGGAUGAUCUUUAUCCUUCUCAACAAAGAUUGCAUGUGUUGGUAAUGUAUAUAUAUGUUAUGCAUUUUGAAUAAGAACUUGGUUUUUAUGUUGGAUAGGAA